CCUAAAACUUUAAUUGAAAAACUAGAAACAAAAGAUCCUCGAGAAGACGACGGAAAAGAUUGAAUAAAACUGAGACAUACGAUACGAUGUAUGAUCACUUGGGAGCAUCAAAUUUAUAUAAAUCCAAUCCGCAUCAUUAUAUAAAAGAAGA